GGGGCUGUGGCUCAUUGGUAGAGCCCUCACCUAGCACAUGUGAGGCACUGGGUUCAAUCCUCAGCGCCACA
rnacentral:tRNA from 1 species